rnacentral:rRNA from 1 species
GACGAACGCUGGCGGCGUGCUUAACACACGCAAGUCGAACGGAAAGGCCUGCUUUCCCUUGUGGAUUGCGGGUACUCGAGUGGCGAACGGGUGAGUAACACGUGAGUGAUCUGCCCCCAACUUGGGUAUAAGCCUGGGAAACUGGGUCUAAUUCCCGAUAGGACUGCAGGGUGGUGCCUGUGGUGGAAAACGAUUUUCUAGUGGUUGGGGAUGAGCUCGCGGCCUAUCAGCUUGUUGGUGGGGUAAUGGCCUACCAAGGCGGCGACGGGUAGCCGGCCUGGGAGGGUGGACGGCCACAUUGGGACUGAGAUACGGCCCAGACUCCUACGGGAGGCAGCAGUGGGGAAUAUUGCACAAUGGGCGGAAGCCUGAUGCAGCGACGCCGCGUGGGGGAUGACGGCCUUCGGGUUGUAAACUCCUUUCGACCGCGAGGAAGCCACCUGGUUGGAAGGGUGGUGACGUUAGUGGUAGAAGAAGCACCGGCUAACUACGUG